rnacentral:rRNA from 1 species
CACCGGCGGCCCGAGUGGUGAUCGUGAUUAUUGGGUCUAAAGGGUCCGUAGCCGGUUUGGUCAGUCCUCCGGGAAAUCUGACAGCUUAACUGUUAGGCUUUCGGAGGAUACUGCCAGACUUGGAACCGGGAGAGGUAAGAGGUACUACAGGGGUAGGAGUGAAAUCUUGUAAUCCCUGUGGGACCACCUGUGGCGAAGGCGUCUUACCAGAACGGGUUCGACGGUGAGGGACGAAAGCUGGGGGC